rnacentral:rRNA from 1 species
CACGUAGGGUGCGAGCGUUGUCCGGAAUUAUUGGGCGUAAAGAGCUCGUAGGCGGUGUGUCGCGUCGGCCGUGAAAACCUGCAGCUUAACUGUGGGCUUGCGGUCGAUACGGGCAUCACUGGAGUUCGGCAGGGGAGACUGGAAUUCCUGGUGUAGCGGUGAAAUGCGCAGAUAUCAGGGAGGAACACCGGUGGGCGAAGGCGGGGUCUCUGG